UACGGGGGGGGCAAGCGUUGUUCGGAAUUACUGGGCGUAAAGGGGACGUAGGCGGCCAACUAAGUCCGACGUGAAAUCCCUCGGCUUAACCGGGGAACUGCGUCUGAUACUGGAUGGCUUGAGUUCGGGAGAGGGAUGCGGAAUUCCAGGUGUAGCGGUGAAAUGCGUAGAUAUCUGGAGGAACACCGGUGGCGAAGGCGGCAUCCUGGACCGACACUGACGCUGAGGAGCGAAAGCCAGGGGAGCAAACGGG
rnacentral:rRNA from 1 species